rnacentral:lncRNA from 1 species
CACACCCCGUCCCAAAGGAGGGCAUGCUGGCCAUCACGUGAGAGUGACGUAACCAUUUACACAGUUCGGAAGCUUUAAAGAAUACAAUUACUAAGAUGAAACACCCGAGGGUGAGUCAUACUUUUAUUAAUUCUGUCAGAACACCGUUGGAUUCCUCGUGGCCACCAAAGCUCUGUUAUCUUAAACCUGGAGGGGCGCAAAACAAAAUUGAGUGGGUCAGUAAAACAAACUUUUCAAAACUUUCUUUUCUCUUUGAAUAUACUAACCCCUCACCGUAAAACAAGUAUAGUUUCCCAGAAGUAAAGUAUAUAAUCAUAUACGUAAUAUAUAUCAAAUCAUGCGGAACAAUAUGAUUGUAUGCCAUGCCAAACAUCAUAACUGAAUGCUCAUCAUCUAUAUGUACAUAUGAUGGAGUAACAUAUACGUAAUAUAUCUCAAAUUCAUGCUAGGCAAUAUGAAUGUAUGUCAUGCCAAAGUAUCAUAACUGAAUGCUCAUCAUCUCUAUGUACAUAUGAUAGAAUAACAUUUAAUCAAUUCAGCGCUCGGCUAUAAACAUAGUUCAUACUAUUUCAUCAUAAUCAACUCAACACUCGGCUGCAUAUAUAGUUCAUAGCUAACUCAUCAUAAUCAACUCAUUCGUAAUUAUCUCAUCAUAAUCAACUCAUUCGUAAUUAUCUCAUCAUAAUCAACUCAGCCCUUGGUUGUAUAUAUAGCUCAUAAUCAUCUCAUCUCAAUCAACUCAGCCCUCGGCUGUAUAUAUAGCUCAUAAUCAUCUCAUCUCAAUCAACUCAGCCCUCGGCUGUAUAUAUAUAUAUAUAUAUGUUUAACCUGCACACAUUCAAUACCACCUCACGUGGUCUACAAUUCAUCAUCGUAUAUAUCAUAGUAUGCUCUAGUGCUACAAUCACGUGAAGACUGUGCGAUAAAUCGCGGGUCACCUACGAGUCGAAUCCACAUAAGUGGUCUAUACGACAAGACUGUGCACCUAACUUGGAUCCAAGGCGAGCAUGCGGUGCGAGAGGUGAACAUCACGUGAAAGACUGUGCCUCUAUCUCUAGGCGGGAGCACUAAUAUACGUGUGCAAGUAAAUGAGCUUUCAAUCACAUCUCAAUCAUAUGAUUCAUCAUAUCUCAACUAUAUCUCAUGAUCGUUAUCAGCAUAAUAUCUCAAUAAUUGUGUCUCAAUUCUAUUUCAAUCACAUUUCAAUUAUAUCUCAAACAUAUCAUAAACAUAUCUCGAUCAUGUCACAAUUUCAUCUCAAUUAUAUCUCAUUCAUACUUCAAUCAUACCUCAAUCGUAUAAUUCAUCAUGUUUCAAUAGUAUUUCCCUCGUAUUUCAAACGUAUUUCAAUCGUAUAUCGAACGUAUUUCAAAUGUAUCUCAUACAUAUAUCAAAUGUAUUUCGUACGUAUCUCAAAUGUAUUUCAAUAGUAUUUCGUACGUAUAUCAAAUGUAUAUUAUACGUAUUUCAAAUGUAUUUCAUACGUAUAUCAAUCGUAUAUUAUACGUAUUUCAAAUGUAUAUCAAUCGUAUUUCAAACGUAUAUACUUACGUAUUUCAAAUGUAUUUUAUACGUAUAUCAAUCAUAUAUUAUACGUAUUUCAAAUGUAUAUCAAUCGUAUUUCAAACGUAUAUACUUACAUAUUUCAAAUGUAUUUUAUACGUAUAUCAAUCGUAUUUCAUACGUAUUUCAAAUGUAUUUCAUACGUAUAUCAUAUGUAUAUUAUACGUAUUUCAAAUGUAUAUCAAAUGAAUUUCAUAUGUAUAUCAAAUGUAUCUAAUACGUAUGUCAAUUGUAUUUCAAAUGUAUUUCAAAUAUAUAUCAAAUGUAUCUUAAUCGUAUUUCCAUAGUAUUUCAUUUGUAUUUCAAUCGUAUUUCAUGAUCGUUUUCAACAUAAUAUCUCACAUAUAACUUACCUGGGCCUCCUCAGUACCAUGCAACAAUAUGUACAAUUAUGGUAAUGCACAUAUUAAAAUAUGAUGCAUAUAUGACAAGCUAUUUAAUUCGUAUUUCUUUUUAAAAUACGUUUUCUAGGAAAUACGUCAAGUAUACGUAUAUAUAUACUUAAAAAAAUAUAACUGCCCACUCACUGAUAAGUAGCCGAUUCGUAACCCCCUCGUCUAUUUUGGUUACGUUCUUCGUCCGUAUAAUUUUCACCUAUACAAAAAUAAUUAUAACAUCAUUUAAACGCACAUACACAAACAUUCGUCAAUAACUUUCUCAUACGUUGCUCAAUUUGGGUAUGUGAAUAUACCACGGUGAUCUACACGACGUCACGAACACGUGAAAAUUUUCAGAACGGAAUUUGAAGCUUCCACGCACCCUCACGCGUCAGAGGAAGGUCGGACCUACGCGCCCCCACGCGCGUCUUCUUCCUCGGCUCGCCGGACUGGUUCGCCGGUUUCUGGGCAGUUUUGCCGGAAUUU